UAGGGAAUCUUCCGCAAUGGACGCAAGUCUGACGGAGCAACGCCGCGUGAGUGAAGAAGGUUUUCGGAUCGUAAAACUCUGUUGUUAGAGAAGAACAAGUGCUAGAGUAACUGUUAGCGCCUUGACGGUAUCUAACCAGAAAGCCACGGCUAACUACGUGCCAGCAGCCGCGGUAAUACGUAGGUGGCAAGCGUUGUCCGGAUUUAUUGGGCAUAAAGCGAGCGCAGGCGGUUCCUUAAGUCUGAUGUGAAAGCCCCCGGCUCAACCGGGGAGGGUCAUUGGAAACUGGGGAACUUGAGUGCAGAAGAGGAGAGUGGAAUUCCAUGUGUAGCGGUGAAAUGCGUAGAUAUAUGGAGGAACACCAGUGGCGAAGGCGACUCUCUGGUCUGUAACUGACGCUGAGGCUCGAAAGCGUGGGUAGCAAACAGGAUUAGAUACCCUGGUAGUCCACGCCGUAAACGAUGAGUGCUAAGUGUUGGAGGGUUUCCGCCCUUCAGUGCUGCAGUUAACGCAUUAAGCACUCCGCCUGGGGAGUACGACCGCAAGGUUG
rnacentral:rRNA from 1 species